GAGGAGAGUACCGCACACAGCAUAUAUCCACAAACCACGAUUGUACCGCUUGAUGACUGAUUCAUUGAGAUUGGGAUUUAAAAGGAUACUAUAGGCAUCAAAACAACUUUAGCUUAAAUUUGGUGUAUAGAUUAUGCUCCAGAAGUCUCGCUGCUUAAUUCUCUGCCAUUUAGGAGUUAAAUCACGUUUGUUUGUUUGUUUAUUCAGCCUUAGCCAAGCCUCCCUGGCUGUGACUCACACACCCAACACAGUUUCAUUUUUACUCAGAUAAUAAUUGUUUAGAAGUUUUUCUCAGUUUUAUUCAUUUCAUGUGUCCGGAGACCAAAACUGUAUCGUGAAGAUUUGGGCUAUUUUCUAUUGCUAUUUUAGGUUUCUUUACACAAUGCAUAUU